AACGAACGCUGGCGGCAUGCCUAACACAUGCAAGUCGAACGAGACCUUCGGGUCUAGUGGCGCACGGGUGCGUAACGCGUGGGAACCUGCCCUUAGGUUCGGAAUAACUCCCCGAAAGGGGUGCUAAUACCGGAUAAUGUCUUCGGACCAAAGAUUUAUCGCCUUUGGAUGGGCCCGCGUUGGAUUAGCUAGUUGGUAGGGUAAAAGCCUACCAAGGCGACGAUCCAUAGCUGGUCGGAGAGGAUGAUCAGCCACACUGGGAAUGAGACACGGCCCAGACUCCUACGGGAGGCAGCAGUGGGGAAUAUUGGACAAUGGGCGAAAGCCUGAUCCAGCAAUGCCGCGUGAGUGAUGAAGGCCUUAGGGUUGUAAAGCUCUUUUACCCGGGAUGAUAAUGACAGUACCGGGAGAAUAAGCACCGGCUAACUCCGUG
rnacentral:rRNA from 1 species